CCUACGGGAGGCAGCAGUGGGGAAUAUUGGACAAUGGGCGAAAGCCUGAUCCAGCCAUGCCGCGUGAGUGAUGAAGGCCCUAGGGUUGUAAAGCUCUUUCAACGGUGAAGAUAAUGACGGUAACCGUAGAAGAAGCCCCGGCUAACUUCGUGCCAGCAGCCGCGGUAAU
rnacentral:rRNA from 2 species